GACGAACGCUGGCGGCGUGCUUAACACAUGCAAGUCGAACGGAAAGGCCCUGCUUUUGUGGGGUGCUCGAGUGGCGAACGGGUGAGUAACACGUGAGUAACCUGCCCUUGACUUUGGGAUAACUUCAGGAAACUGGGGCUAAUACCGGAUAGGAGCUCCUGCUGCAUGGUGGGGGUUGGAAAGUUUCGGCGGUUGGGGAUGGACUCGCGGCUUAUCAGCUUGUUGGUGGGGUAGUGGCUUACCAAGGCUUUGACGGGUAGCCGGCCUGAGAGGGUGACCGGCCACAUUGGGACUGAGAUACGGCCCAGACUCCUACGGGAGGCAGCAGUGGGGAAUAUUGCACAAUGGGCGGAAGCCUGAUGCAGCAACGCCGCGUGCGGGAUGACGGCCUUCGGGUUGUAAACCGCUUUCGCCUGUGACGAAGCGUGAGUGACGGUAAUGGGUAAAGAAGCACCGGCUAACUACGUGCCAGCAGCCGCGGUGAUACGUAGGGUGCGAGCGUUGUCCGGAUUUAUUGGGCGUAAGGGCUCGUAGGUGGUUGAUCGCGUCGGAAGUGUAAUCUUGGGGCUUAACCCUGAGCGUGCUUUCGAUACGGGUUGACUUGAGGAAGGUAGGGGAGAAUGGAAUUCCUGGUGGAGCGGUGGAAUGCGCAGAUAUCAGGAGGAACACCAGUGGCGAAGGCGGUUCUCUGGGCCUUUCCUGACGCUGAGGAGCGAAAGCGUGGGGAGCGAACAGGCUUAGAUACCCUGGUAGUCCACGCUGUAAACGGUGGGUACUAGGUGUGGGGUCCAUUCCACGGGUUCCGUGCCGUAGCUAACGCUUUAAGUACCCCGCCUGGGGAGUACGGCCGCAAGGCUAAAACUCAAAGGAAUUGACGGGGCCCCGCACAAGCGGCGGAGCAUGCGGAUUAAUUCGAUGCAACGCGUAGAACCUUACCUGGGUUUGACAUGGAUCGGGAGUGCUCAGAGAUGGGUGUGCCUCUUUUGGGGUCGGUUCACAGGUGGUGCAUGGCUGUCGUCAGCUCGUGUCGUGAGAUGUUGGGUUAAGUCCCGCAACGAGCGCAACCCUUGUUCACUGUUGCCAGCACGUUAUGGUGGGGACUCAGUGGAGACCGCCGGGGUCAACUCGGAGGAAGGUGGGGAUGACGUCAAGUCAUCAUGCCCCUUAUGUCCAGGGCUUCACGCAUGCUACAAUGGCUGGUACAGAGAGUGGCGAGCCUGUGAGGGUGAGCGAAUCUCGGAAAGUCGGUCUCAGUUCGGAUUGGGGUCUGCAACUCGACCUCAUGAAGUCGGAGUCGCUAGUAAUCGCAGAUCAGCAACGCUGCGGUGAAUACGUUCCCGGGGCU
rnacentral:rRNA from 1 species